AGGACUGAUUGAGGAGAGCCGACGGAGCCAUGGUGGACGAGAGCCGACGGAGCCAUGGUGGACGAGAGCCGACGGCGCCAUGGUGGACGAGAGCCGACGGAGCCAUGGUGGACGGAGGCCCUGCCUUAAGAAUGAUGUCGGGACCCGAUGCCCUUGGCUGAUGGAGGAACUGCAUCUGGAGGACGACCAUGAAUCUACCUGCCAACAGGUGGUACUGGUUUGCACUGGUUUGCAUGAACUGAACAUGGUGGACAUGAGGCAAAUUCCCUGCUUUUUGCUCCAGACCAGGACUCUGUGAUGGAGGGGUGGUGAUGGAGCCGUGCUGAGGACCUGCUGGUGAAGGACGUCCCUCGGUGGGGGGGCAAGGACAGCCGACCCUGAGGAUCCGCUCGGAUCUACGAUCGCUACGAUGCGACUGCAGAGGUCUCUGGAAGACCAGGAGUCCUUGCCUGAGGAGAGCUGAUGGAGGAGCCGUGCACCUGGAGAACCAUGAGUCUGCCUGCCAACAAGUAGUACUGGAAGGCGGGGCAUAGGGAGGUGAUGGAGGACCUGCCUGGUGAAGGACGUCAGGGUGGGGCGAGUGACACCCGACUCCAAGGGGAUAUCCACUGAGGAGAGAGCUGAAGGAGCCAUGCAUCUGGAAGUUGAAAUGCUGUGUCCAGUCUGGGACACACACCUGAGCUGCAUCAAACCUGUAUCUCUGACCAGCUGGAGU